GUGUUGUAUAAAAGAGGAGAAGGUUGGUACUCCCCUUGACAAGGAUACAAGAGGCCUUUGGGCCUCACAACAUGCAUACAGUUAAGGCAUUGCCACCUACGUCCUGGCAUCUAACCAUCGUUUUUG
ensembl:snRNA